GAUGAACGCUGGCGGCGUGCCUAAUACAUGCAAGUCGAGCGAACGGACGAGAACCUUGCUUCUCUGAUGUUAGCGGCGCACGGGUGAGUAACAUGUGGAUAACCUACCUAUAAGACUGGGAUAACUUCGGGAAACCGGCGCUAAUACCGUAUGAUAUUUUGAACCGCAUGGUUCAAUAGUGAAAGACGGUCUUGCUGUUACUUAUAGAUGGAUCCGCGGUUCAUUAGCUAGUUGGUAAGGUAACGGCUUACCAAGGCAACGAUGCAUAGCCGACCUGAGAGGGUGAGCGGCCACUGUGGAACAGAGACGCGGCACAGACUCCUACGGGAGGCAGCAGUAGGAAAUCUGCCGAAAGGGGCGAGAGCGUGAGGGAGAAACGGCGCGUGAGUGGUGAGGGUCUUCGGAGCGUAAAACUCUGUUAAGAGGGAAGAACAUAUGUGUAAGUAAAGGUGAACAUGUGGACGGUACCUAAUCAGAAAGCAACGGCUAACUACGU
rnacentral:rRNA from 1 species